rnacentral:rRNA from 1 species
CUGGUACAAUGCGAAGCGAAGCAGUGAUGUGAAGCAAAUCGCACCAAAGCCAGUCCCAGUUCGGAUAAGAGGCUGAAACUCGCCUCUUUGAAGUCGGAAUCGCUAGUAAUCGCAGAUCAGCAUGUUGCGGUGAAUACGUUCCCGGGUCUUGUACACACCGCCCGUCAAACCAUGAGAGUCACCAACACCCGAAGUCCGCCUUGGCGGCCUAAGGUGGGGAGAUGAUUGGGGUUAAGUCGUAACAAGGUAUC